UUACAGAGUACAAUGGAAUAGAAGAGAAGAGCCACAAACAACAUGGUGACCUACACAACAACAACUAACAUCAAACAAGUAGCAACAUAAUUAGAUUCGAUUGAUCUCAAUUCACACAGGUAUGAGUAAAAUGAAAAUUAUUGACACAUUCUAUAAAAGAGUGGAUACAAAUGCUACAAGUGGUUCCUCUCCAAUUGAAGCAUCCAACCUCAAUGUUUCACCUCAAGAACAAGAACAAGAACAAUCUCAUCCAAAACGCCAAAGGCUUCGUCAUGAAGAAAUGAGUUGUUCUCAAAUUGAAGUAGAUCCAGGAUUGCGAC
rnacentral:lncRNA from 1 species